ACUAAAUAGAUACCCAGGUAGUCCACGCCGUAAACGAUGGAUACUAGCUGUUCGGAGCAAUCUGAGUGGCUAAAGCGAAAAAGUGAUAAGUAUCCCACCUGGGGAGUACGCACGCAAGUGUGAAACUCAAAGGAAUUGACGGGGGCCCGCACAAGCGGUGGAGCAUGUGGUUUAAUUCGAUGAUACGCGAGGAACCUUACCAGGGCUUAAAUGUAGAUUGACAGGACUGGAAACAGUUUUUUCUUCGGACAAUUUACAAGGUGCUGCAUGGUUGUCGUCAGCUCGUGCCGUGAGGUGUCAGGUUAAGUCCUAUAACGAGCGCAA
rnacentral:rRNA from 1 species